UUUUCUUUAUUCUGGAUUGAGACUCAUUCUUUUGGUAACUAAGGUAAACAACAUAGAAAAAUCACUUAUAUUGAACCCUGUGCCUCGAGGUAAAACCUGCUCAGACACCAAAACAAACAAGCGAACAAAAUUUUUCUGCCCCAGUUUUCACUAAGAAAAUUUCGUGAGUUAUUUGUAACUAAAAUCUAAACUAUUUCUUUUUUUUUUCUUUUUUUUUAAGGCGAUAAAAUAAAUAUUGUGUGCCUUUAUGAUAAAGAGAUUAGGAAGUGGAGCCCUAUAUCUAAAAUAACCUCAACUAGGGAUUGGAGCCAUAUGUUGGCAAAUUCUAGACUGGCAGGUUCGUCAGUUGAGAUCGAAGAGUUUUCCUUCUGUUCGUGUUCAAUGGAGAGGUCAGCCUCCUAAGGCAUCAACCUGGGAGUUCGAGUCCGAUAUGCGGAGCCGUUAUCCCCAUCUUUUCCCCGACUCAGGUACUUCCUUCUUCUGUCUGUUCGAGGACGAACGGUUGUUUUAGAGGUGGAGAAUGUGAUGACCCAAAAGGUCAUCACAUGUGUUGCAAUAAAAUUCUAUGUUCUGAGGCCUUAAAAACCUCCCUUAGCACCACCUCAAUUUGUGUGCGUAGUCCGGGCGCGUAGCCGGAAAGCUUAAAUGUGAAAAUCUGUGAAAAAGGAUAAGUUUUGACUGUAAAAUGAAUAAAUUUGACUUCGGUCAAUGUUUUGGGUAAAUGGACCCGGACCCGUAAUUUGACGGUUCCGAAGGGUACAUAGAAAAAUUUGGGACUCAGGCAUAUACCCGGAAUCGGAUUCCGAGGUCCCAAGCCCGAGAAAUGAAUUUUUUUUUAAAGAAAAUUAUUUUCUGAAAUUGUUUAAAGAAAUUUGAAAUGAAAUUUGCUUAGAACAUGAUGGUAUCGGGCCCGUAUUUUGGUUCCGGCGCUCGGUACAGGUCUUAUAUAUGAUUUAAGACGUUUCUGUGGAAUUUGGCGAAAAACGGAUGUCAUUUGACGUGAUUCGAACUUAAAUUGCAAAAUUGAUGUUUAAAGAAGUUUUGAGAAAAUUUCAUUGAUCUCGAGGUUUACUUUGAUGUUCAUGAUGUUAUUUUGAUGAUUUGAUUAUACAACUAAGUCUAUAGGAUAUUUUUGAGGUUUUGUGUACACUUGGUUUGGAGUUCCGAGGGCUCGGGUGAGUUUCGGGUAGGUUCCGGGAUGUCUUAGGCUUAAAAACAUAGGUGUUACAGGUUCAGAGAGGUGGAAGGCCUCUGAACCAACCAGUGCGGUCCGCACAAAAAGGAAUGCUGCCGCGGAGGGGAUUGUGCGGCCACACUGGAUUUUGUGCGGACUGCGGUGAGGGCCUGUGCGGCCGCACUAGUUUUGGUGCGGUCGGCGGUGAAGAGCAAUUCACUGGUCCUACUUCGAAAGCCUAUAUCUUUUGAUUUACAAGGCCUUUUGAGAUGCUUCAAAAAUGAAAGUUGUAGUCCUUCGUAUUUAGUUUCUAGAAAGGUAAAGAAAUCACAAUUUGGACAUCUAUAGAGAAAGUUAUGACCAAAAUACUAAGACCUAUCACUGCAGAACACAGGAAGCCUGUGCGACCGCGGUUGAUUUUGUGCGGUCCGCACAUGGCAUCUGAGGGCAGUAUAUUUAGAUGGGAUUUUCAGUUAUUUUUCAUUUUUUAAGACCCCAAAAAUAUAAGAGGCGAUUUUUCAAACAACCUUUCUUCUCCAAAUCAAUUGUAAGUCAUUUUUAACUAGUUUUCUUUAAUCAUUAACAUCUUUUAACAUGAUUUCAACUUCAAAUCAAUGAUUUUCAUGGGGGAAAUUGGGGUGUUUUGGGUAGAACCUAGGUUUUUCAAAAAAUUGGGGAUUUGGACCUCAAUUUGAGGUCCAAUUUCAAAACAAAUUACAUAUUUGAGCUCGUGGGGAAAUGGGUAAUCGUGUUUUGGUUCGAACCUCGGGUUUUGACCAUGUGGGCCUAGGGGCGAUUUUGACUUUUUGGGUAAAACUUUGGAAAAUUCAUUUUCAUGCAUUCAAAUUGAUUCAUUUAGCGUUUAUUGAUGUAAUUAAGUAACUUGUGACUAGAUACGAACGAAUUGGUGGUGGAAUCAAGGGGUAAAGCUAUAAUUGAAUCGCGAAUUGUGUUCGUGGCAUCAAGGUAAGUGUUUGGUAUAACCUUAGCUUGAGGGAUUAGGAGUUGUGUCCUAUUUGCUAUUUGCUACUUGUUGAGUACGAUGUAUAGGGAUGGUGACGAGUAUCUAUAUGUUGGUGUCAAGCAUGAUCGUGGGUCUUAUAUUGUGAUUUUCAUGACUUCGUUGUAUUAUUCAUGUCUUGGUGAAGAUUUCUAUUUGUUGUGUAAAGUUGUGGAAAAGAAUUAUGACCUAUGAAAAUUGAGGAGCGUUGGCUCCAGUUGUAUAAUGAAUUGUGAAAGUAUAAGUAAUAAUUGAAACUCUAGAGUAUUGGUUCGAGUUGUGAAGUAAAUUGUGAAGUAGAAGUGAGAAAGAGAAGAGAUCAUUAUGUUGGCCCCUUGCCGGGCUAUUGUUGAGUUGUGGUUCCCUUGCAUUGUGUUCUUAAUUGAUAUUAUGGAUGUUUAGGUUGAUGAUUCUUGUGUUAGGUGUUGUAACAAGUUUGGUUAUAGCUGAGGUGGUUAGGUGUUGUAACAACUUUGGUUAUAGCUGAGGUAGUUAGAUGUUGUAACAAGUUUGGUUAUAGCUGAGGUAGUUAGGUGUUGUAACGAGUUUGAUUAUAGCUGAAGUAGUUAGAUGUUGUAACAAGUUUGGUUAUAGCUAUUUCUCCCUUGUCGGGAUAUUAUUUGUCGAUAUUAUUUUUUCCUUGCCGGGAUUCCUUGUGAUUAUUGUUGGCUUGUCAUGGGAGCGGGUGGUAUGUCUACCACAAGAUAUAAUAAAAUAGGAGCGGGUGGUACGCCUACCACAAGACAUAAUGAAAUAGGAGCGGGUGGUACGCCUACCACAAGAUAUAAUGAAAUGGGAGCGGGUGGUACUCCUACCAUGUGAUAAAUGAAAUGGGAGCGGGUGGCAUGCCUGCCACGAGAUAUAAUGAAAUNNNNNNNNNNNNNNNNNNNNNNNNNCCUCGUCACUACCUCGCCGGGGUUAGGUCAGGCACUUACCAGCACAUGAGGUCGGUUGUGCUGAUACUACACUGAGCUAGGCAGACCUCAGUGUUUUAAACUUCGGACAGCAGUGAGAUUGCUGAUUCUUGUUCAUCAGGCGACCCGAGGUAGCCCUGCAGGCGUCCGUAGGCCUUGGUGUCUCCUUCCAUCUACUUUCCUGUUUCUUACAUGUAUUUCCAGAGACAGUGUUGUAUUUAAUUCUUUCAGGCCUUUAUUUGUAGUAUUCUUAGACCGUCUGUGAAACUGUGACACCAGUUCUGGGUAUUCGAGACUCAAACAGUUGCAUUAGACAUUCAAGUUCAGAUGGCUUAUUGUUUUCGUCCGCUUAUGUUAUAUUCCUUUUUUAAAUGUUAUUUCUUCGUAAUUGUUAAAGAGAAUAAAAUUGGAAAAAAGAUAGAUGGUUAAAUAAUUGGCUUGCCUAGCUCACAUUAGUAGGCGCCAUCAUGACCCCCGAGGUGGGAAAUUCGGGUCGUGACAGCACACUUCCCAGAUGAUUUAGAAGACUCAGAGAGAAGAGGGUUUCAUAACAGUUUUAUAUACAGUUCACACAAUAUCAAAGCGGUAAAAAGCGACACUUAGCAUACUAGGCUCAAAAUAUGUAAAAAUCAGAUAAUAAAUAAAGUCAAGUAUAACAGUUAUCCUAAGCUCAAAUUCUUGAACCCUGAACCGAAGUUAUGGGUUUGGAUCCCCAGCGAAGUCACCAAAGCUGUCACAGCUCUUUUUUACGCACCCGAAAGUAGUACAAGGGAGUUUUUCCAUUUUAAGUGACAUUAUUCGAAAUGGGAUUAUUUAUUCAAUUCAGAGUCGCCACUUGAAAUAUUUUAAUUGGUGUUCCAGGUCACCGGUUUAUUUUAAAUCCCAAAUCGAGGAAAUUUUGACUUUCCUUUUGAAGUUUGCGAACCAAAAAUUCUGAAUAAGGAAUUUUGUUAACCUGAGGGAAGGUGUUAGGCACCCCCGGAUUCCAUGGUUCUAGCACGGUCGCUUAAACUAUCAUAAUUGGCCUAUUAUCUGAUUCCAAUACAUGUUUUAACCUAUCAUACAUUUUAACUCGUUAAACUGCUUUUAAUUAUUUUUAGGAAGAUUCAACGUUAUUUAAAACACGCCUUGAACCACGUCACAUGAAAUGCACCCGCGGUCCACGACACAUUUUAUUUAACGUUGUUGAGAUUUGGAUUUGGGUCACAUAAAAUGCACACCCGAGUUUAAGGAAAUUAAUUUAAAUAGCGUGCCUAAAGCAACUACGCACUUUCAAGUUUGCGAGGGCCAUGGAAAAUCCAGCUAAUGUCAUGCCUCGAUUUCUAAAGAGUUAAUAUUAAUUAAAUGAGGGCCAUGGGUUAUUUAAUGAGAAUGGCACCAAAAUUAUUAGCUCAAAAUCCUAAAUCAAUGAACUGUUGGUUUGUCUCCAAUUAAAUUAUCCAUGCAGCAAUAAAAAAAUUGUCUCACUAGAUAUUAUCCAAAACAUGACAACCAGGAGGAAUUCACAUAUGAACAUUUAAAGCAUGAUUCAAUAUUUGACCACAUAAAGGUAAACCACACACAGUACUAAUAUUGGUUACAACCAAGCAAUUCAAACUAUUCUCACGUGAUUGUAUACCAAACAUGGUUAUGUAUCAUUCAUUUACAUUCGGAAAUAUCUAUUUUACUAUGUGCUUCAUGAAUUGUCUUAAACAAAAAAAUCAGUUACCCACUUAUUCUUUGGUUCACUUCAAAAAUCGCAAGAUGCCUCUGUCAUUUAAUAUUCACAACAAACUCAUGGAAAAGUUCAUCACAACAAAGAAUUAAAAAGCAUUCAAAGCUUUCUCAUCACAGAUGCAUUAAUAGAAUCCAAACAAACAAAUGGAAAAGGAUUUGAUGGCAAACGAAAAUUUUAAAACAAAAAAAAAACACUAAGGAAUUCAAAUAGCAAGGGUAAGAAUGAACCUUAAUAUUCAGUAAAUAAACUUCUUCAAUAGAUGAAAACCCAAAGCUCCUGACGUCGACAAACUACAUGAAUUCCAAAGAUUACAACCUCAAUAAAGAGUCAAACAAGAUCCACGACAUGAGCACUCGAACGACGACCUCGACGGAACCUCCGAUUUUGGUGAUGUCGGAACUGUUUGCAGCUGGUUCUGCUGCUGGUUCGAUGGCUGAAGAAGCAGUGUGUUUCCGCUGUAAUUUUGAAGCUAUUUUGGGGCUUAAUUUGGAGGUCAUUUUGGACAUGGGUUUUGGGGCGACGCAGCUGGUUUUAAAGCUGCAUUAAUAGAGAUUUUCGGACUGGUUUUAAUGGUGAAAAUGUCGUUGUUAUCUGGUGAAUUUUGAAGGUUAUUUGCUAGAGUUUUGUAUAGAAACAGGGACUGUGUUUGAGGUUGGAGGGAGAUACUUCAAUGGCUGAUUUUUUAGAAAACUUUGUAGAUGUUUUAACGAAGGAAAGGGGUAUAGCUCAUGGUGUCCAUGAUGGCUUAAGGAGGAUUGUCCCGUUUGGAGAGGAAGCACCAGAUUUUAUUUUGCGUUUUUGCUGAAGAAACG
rnacentral:lncRNA from 1 species